AGCUCCAAUAGCGUAUAUUAAAGUUGUUGCAGUUAAAAAGCUCGUAGUUGGAUUUGUAGCACAAAAGGCUGAAGUGUCUUAAUUGACUUGUUCAGCCUAUUAUGCUAUCCUUUUAAUAAUUUUUUCAGCGAAUGGAAAAUGUUUUAAAUCAUUUACUUUGAGUAAAUUAGAGUGUUCCAAGCAAGUUAAAUCUUUGAAUACUACAGCAUGGAAUAAUAAAAAAGUACAGUAGGUCUAUUUUGUUGGUUAACUAGGUCCUAUGUAAUGAUUAAGAGGAGCGGUUGGGGGCAUUUGAAUUAAACAGCUAGAGGUGAAAUUCUUAGAUUUGUUGAAGACAAACUACAGCGAAAGUAUUUGCCAAGGAUGUUUCCA
rnacentral:rRNA from 1 species